UUCUCUGUAGGGCAGAAACAGUGACCUAAGGAAGGUGAGCAGCAACAAUAUUUGAAGAAACCAGUCUCAUCUGGAAUAUCAAGACAGAAGAUUGAUGCUGGAAAUUACUAUCCUGAAUGGCUGCUGCUAGGAGGAAGCUUACAGUAGUUGGAGAUGACUGCUCUGGUAAGACGUGCCUCCUCUUCGCUCUGCGUCGCAAUCAGCUCCCCACAUUCUACGAGCCAACCCUGUUUGACACGUAUGCCACUGACAUAGAGGAAGAUGGGAAGGAGAUGAAGCUGUUUCUGUUUGACGUGUCAGGAAAAGAUGAAGCCAGUUACCGAAAUCUCCGCUCGGUGUUCUAUGAGGACACCAACAUUAUUUUAAUAUGUUUCUCAGUGGACAGGCCUGACUCACAGCAAAACGUCCUUGACUUUUGGGUUCCAGAAAUCAAACUGUUCUGCCCCACGGUUCCUAUUAUUUUAGUGGCUACCAAGAUUGAACUGAGGGAUGAUGAAGCUAUCAGGAAGAAAUUAGCUGCUCAGGGCUAUGAGCCAAUUAACACUGUAGAAGGAAAAGCUUUAGCAGCCAGGAUUGGGGCAUAUGCUUACCUGGAGUGUUCUGCCAGGACAAAAGAAGGUGUUGAUGCCGCCCUGGAGAUAAUUAGCCAAUGUGCAUUAAAUGAGAAAAAGAGGAGAAAGAAGCGCCAAAGGUCCUGCCAAAUUUUGUAAGAGGCACAAAUAUUAUUUUGUUUUUAGUUUUCAUUAUGUGGAAGAGUGAGUAGAUGUCUUUGAUGCUGCUGUGUGGGUGCUGUAAGGGCUUUUGUGGUACAAGAUGGAAAAAACAUUUAUGUGGAUGGAAAGUCUGCCAAGUCUCUCACUUGAAAAGUUGGAUUUGUUUCCUUCUCCAAAGCAGGCUGAAGAACACAACUCCAGGUUCGAGCUGAGCACAAGUCUUGAGAAAUGGAAAUGAACAAGCUACAGUUCUUCACAGAGUUGUCUUGGUCAAGGGACAUAUAUGCAGACUGGUGCAAUCAUGAGUGCAUGGAGCACUUGCAGGCUGAAGACAUGAAGUAAAAGGAAUGCUGACAGCUACGCUCUCUGCUUUGCAAGUCAUUGACAAUUUGGAAAGAGACUAAAACAUGCUGUCAACCUCAGCAGAGAAUCUCAGGGAAGCACAGAGACGAGGCAAAAAGGAACGACUUCGGGUGCACCUCCAUACUCUUCCCUUCUCUGAAGCAGUCUGCUGCCAGCCCAAGAAACUGAUUUACGGACUGACAUUAAAGGUGCAAGUGUGGGAGACAGAAGAUAAUGUAACUAUGGGAUUUGGAGACAGAUGCUAUAACAGGAAAUGAACAUAAAAAUUUCAAAGGUAAACUCUGAUAAAGGGACAGGACUAAUUGAGCAUAACUGUUGUGAACUGGGAGAAUGUGGAAGUGCAGUACUUUCUUUUGCUGACUUACCUAGUGGUGGUUUCAUCACUCAGCAGCUUGUCUAAAGUUUCCCAGGGGAAAACAAGACUAAACACAAAAUGUUACACUGAUUGUGCAACCUGCAGCUGUACCCUUAGCAAACUAGUUUUCCCAGACCUGGUAAAAUACACACUUCAUAUUUUAAUUGCCCAUUCUUCCCACCAACAUUUGUCUAUUGAUGGUAACGUGGAUAGAAAUGCCAGACUUGGCCAGGUAUUAUUGAGUGGGUUGCUGCUACUUCUUAGUAGUGGGUUUGAGUAACAAAUGCUUUAAGGGUGAUGCUUUACAUUUCCAAAGAAUCUCUGAGCUCUAUUCAACUUGAAUUACGAAUCCAUCUCUUGGUGAUAAAAAAGUGUUAUUUCCAUUUUCAAAACUGAGAAACUUAAAUUGUUGCCUAAAGUAAGUGUGAACCAUCUACUACAUGGAGUUCCUGUUUUUCUUGACUCAUUUUCUUCACCUUUUCCCUUUUCCCUCCAGAGACAAUUUUUCACCUCGAUUUCUUCCCCUCUGUGUAAUAAUCCCCUCUAUGCAACUUGAUAUUGUACAUAAAUUUAAAACUGUUUUCCCCUUCCUCCUUGGAUGUGU